AAGUCGUAACAAGGUCUCGUUGGUGAACCAGCGGAGGGAUCAUUACCGAGUUUACAACUCCCAAACCCAAUGUGAACGUUACCAAACCGUUGCCUCGGCGGGAUCUCUGCCCCGGGUGCGUCGCAGCCCCGGACCAAGGCGCCCGCCGGAGGACCAACCAAAACUCUUAUUGUAUACCCCCUCGCGGGUUUUUUACUAUCUGAGCCAUCUCGGCGCCCCUCGUGGGCGUUUCGAAAAUGAAUCAAAACUUUCAACAACGGAUCUCUUGGUUCUGGCAUCGAUGAAGAACGCAGCGAAAUGCGAUAAGUAAUGUGAAUUGCAGAAUUCAGUGAAUCAUCGAAUCUUUGAACGCACAUUGCGCCCGCCAGUAUUCUGGCGGGCAUGCCUGUCCGAGCGUCAUUUCAACCCUCGAACCCCUCCGGGGGGUCGGCGUUGGGGAUCGGCCCUUUACGGGGCCGGCCCCGAAAUACAGUGGCGGUCUCGCCGCAGCCUCUCCUGCGCAGUAGUUUGCACACUCGCAUCGGGAGCGCGGCGCGUCCACAGCCGUUAAACACCCCAAACUUCUGAAAUGUUGACCUCGGAUCAGGUAGGAAUACCCGCUGAACUUAA
rnacentral:rRNA from 1 species